rnacentral:rRNA from 1 species
GCAUAUCAAUAAGCGGAGGAAAAGAAACCCAACCGGGAUUGCCUCAGUAACGGCGAGUGAAGCGGCAAGAGCUCAAAUUUGAAAGCUGGCCCCUUCGGGGUCCGCGUUGUAAUUUGCAGAGGAUGCUUCGGGUGCGGCCCCUGUCUAAGUGCCCUGGAACGGGCCGUCAGAGAGGGUGAGAAUCCCGUCUUGGGCAGGGUGCCCGUGCCCGUGUGAAGCUCCUUCGACGAGUCGAGUUGUUUGGGAAUGCAGCUCUAAAUGGGUGGUAAAUUUCAUCUAAAGCUAAAUACCGGCCGGAGACCGAUAGCGCACAAGUAGAGUGAUCGAAAGAUGAAAAGCACUUUGAAAAGAGAGUUAAACAGCACGUGAAAUUGUUGAAAGGGAAGCGCUUGCGACCAGACUCGGCCCCGGGGUUCAGCCAGCACUCGUGCUGGUGUACUUCCCCGGGGGCGGGCCAGCGUCGGUUUGGGCGGCCGGUCAAAGGCCCCAGGAAUGUAUCGCCCUCCGGGGUUGUCUUAUAGCCUGGGGUGCAAUGCGGCCAGCCCGGACCGAGGAACGCGCUUCGGCACGGACGCUGGCGUAAUGGUCGCAAACGACCCGUCUUGAAACACGGACCAAGGAGUCUAACAUCUACGCGAGUGUUCGGGUGUCAAACCCGUACGCGCAGUGAAAGCGAACGGAGGUGGGAGCCCCCCCGGGGCGCACCAUCGACCGAUCCUGAUGUCUUCGGAUGGAUUUGAGUAAGAGCGUAGCUGUGGGGACCCGAAAGAUGGUGAACUAUGCCUGAAUAGGGCGAAGCCAGAGGAAACUCUGGUGGAGGCUCGCAGCGGUUCUGACGUGCAAAUCGAUCGUCAAAUUUGGGUAUAGGGGCGAAAGACCUAAUCGAACCAUCUGGUAGCUGGUUCCUGCCGAA